AUAUAGGGAGACAUAUUUAGUCAACAUUGCAGAAUUCAUCAGAAUGUACAGAGAAUCGUUGUUCACUGCUUUUCUUCUCGUUUUUGGACAAAUCAAUUGCCAUAGAAUAAACAAAGGUAAGGUGCAUAUAAUGUUUGAAUAUUGAACAUAUUGACAAGUACAAAAUCGAUUAUUUACAAAUUUAAAAUAAUAUACAUGACUACCGUAUAGUUAGUAACAAGUUUUUCGAUUAUCAUUUUAUAGUUAAGCCUGAAUUCGUAUUGUCCAAUAUAUAUAAUAAAUAAAACCAACUCUUUACGUAUAAUUUAUCACAUACGUUUAAUUAGUCUAUUCAGAAUUAAUAUUUAGCAACAUAGCAUUACCACUAUUUAAAAUAUUUAAUAUAUUAAUAUAAUGUACUGAAUUCUUAUAUUUACCCAAUGGUAGCUAUCUUUCUUAUUUGCGUGUUAAUAGUUAUGAUUAAUGGUCCACUGGAAUUAUUUGGUCUCAAGUGGUAAUUUUAUCUUGGCACAUUACCCAACGAUUGCGACGCAAUUCAGUUCAGAAAUUUUAUUUGCAUUUAAUCCAGUACUGUUCUGCUGCUUUUCGAUAUUUGUUGCAUUUCGAAAAUAAAUAUCAAUCAACGAGCAGUCUAAAAAAUAAACUGAACGAUUUAUAAUUUCCCGGUAGUUUAAUCGUACUGAUUACAUCUUGAAAACAGACUAAACGACUGAGCAGGACUUGAUAAUUUACGAUACAAUUUAUUGAUCACAGUCAUAUCAUAAUGACUGUUCUAGAUCAUUAAAAAAAUAAACUAACAUAAAAAAUAUUUUCCCGUGUUUAUUUUAGAAAAAUGUGUCAGGGACGUAGCAGACAAAGUUGCUAAUCUGAUCACCGAAACAAGGAGUGAAUGCACUUUGACCCCUCCAGAUGGUAAUAUGAAAAUCUUGCUUCUAUGUUAUUUGAAUUUGCUAAGCUCGUUCAUGUUAAAACAGACAUAUUUUCAAACUUUUGAAAGAAAACUGAUUAUUGUAUAUCGCAGUGAAUAAACUCAUCAUAGAUACAAGGAUUGAAAUUUUGUAUAUGCGCCAGUCGCGCGUUUCGUCUACUAAAGACUUCAGUGACGCUCGUAACAAGGCC
rnacentral:lncRNA from 1 species